CCUACGGGAGGCAGCAGUAGGGAAUCUUUCACAAUGGGCGAAAGCCUGAUGGAGCAACGCCGCGUGCAGGAUGAAGGCCUUCGGGUUGUAAACUGCUUUUAUAAGCGAGAAAUAUGAUGGUAACUUAUGAAUAAGGAUCGGCUAACUACGUGCCAGCAGCCGCGGUCAUACGUAGGAUCCGAGCAUUAUCCGGAGUGACUGGGUGUAAAGAGUUGCGUAGGUGGGAUAAUAAGUAGCUAGUGAAAUCUGGUGGCUCAACCAUUCAGACUAUUAGCGAAACUGUUAAGCUCGAGACCGUUAGGGGUAACUGGAAUUUCUAGUGUAGGAGUGAAAUCCGUAGAUAUUAGAAGGAACACCAAUAGCGUAGGCAGGUUGCUGGGACGGUUCUGACACUAAGGCACGAAAGCGUAGGGAGCAAACGGGAUUAGAUACCCUUGUAGUC
rnacentral:rRNA from 1 species